ensembl:lncRNA
AACAUAGAGGCCCUGAUGCCUGUGAUGGCACAACACUUCAUUGAUGCCAAGGGUGGUUCUAACCUGGUGAUUAGUAGAACAGGUCCAGUCAAUGGCAGCAACCGCAGUAAGAGAUGGCAAUUCUUCAAGAGGGAGAGACGUAAUACAAAUACAAGCCAGGCUGAGAACAGAGUGUGUCUGUACGAGGCAGGGAAGACCGUGCUGUGUUACGAGGAAAAGGUAGACGCUCCGCCCCUCCAGCCUUCCAGCCUGCAGAUCCUGUUUGGACCACUAGGGGGCUUACAGCGCUCCGUGGGUAGCAGUCGGGGAAGCAGCUCUGGGACCACUGAGACCAGCGAAGGAAGCCACGAGACAGACUCCGGUCACGAGAGUGAGAAUGAGUAACCCGUCCACAGAUACGUUCGGGACGUAAUUCCAGGCGUCCUUCGGUCAGAGUUGGAUGACAGCUCAACUCCAGAGGAUGAAGAGUGUUUUAGAAGUGGGGGAAGAAGGAAAUCCUGGUUUUAAAGUGGAAUCUGAGGUGACGACACCAAGCCCAACCCUUACCAUCAUCACCAUCGCCUCCACCGGCCUGAUCAUGACACUGUCCAGUGGUCGUCACGUCCCUGUUCCCUCUCGGCUGAGGAAGCUGCUUAUCCUGUCCAGGCCACCGUCCAGUCAGCAGGCUCCUCCUGACGAUAGACUACCCAGCCUGAAUGUGACUUAGCUACAGCUGAAGCGGCCCACUUCCCCCUCCUUCUUGGCCUCCUGAAAACAGGUCUUUGGGCAUGGAACAUAUGAGGAGUUAUGAAGAGGGAUCAGGAAGUUGAAGAUUGAGGAGGAAACAGGGGUUUUCUUCAGGUCUAAAUGAAUGUUGUUGUUUUCCUGUUUCAUUUUGAGCUCAUUUUCAGUCUGU